GUCUGAAUGAACAGGUCUGUCGGAAAGACAGCGUCUGAAUGAGCAGGUCUGUCGGAAAGACAGCGUCUGAAUGAACAGGUCUGUCGGAAAGACAGCGUCUGAAUGAACAGGUCUGUCGGAAAGACAGCGUCUGAAUGAACAGGUCUGUCGGAAAGACAGCGUCUGAAUGAACAGGUCUGUCGGAAAGACAGCGUCUGAAUGAACAGGUCUGUCGGAAAGACAGCGUCUGAAUGAACAGGUCUGUCGGAAAGACAGCGUCUGAAUGAACAGGUCUGUCGGAAAGACAGCGUCUGAAUGAACAGGUCUGUCGGAAAGACAGCGUCUGAAUGAACAGGUCUGUCGGAAAGACAGCGUCUGAAUGAACAGGUCUGUCGGAAAGACAGCGUCUGAAUGAACAGGUCUGUCGGAA